rnacentral:lncRNA from 1 species
GAAUAAAUAAACAGGUCAUAUAAAAUGUUGUUCGUGCAAAAUAUCUCACUCAGCUGUUAUAGCUGAGGGGAGAUCUCCUUCUUUGAAGGUUUCAGAGGUUGACAGGUAUAAAUAUAAAAUAUAUGACUCUAACUUUCAAGAAUUUAAACCUAUUCCGGAACUAUGUACUUCCUCUUACUUAACAUUUGGUCCUUCUCAUAUUCAAUUUGGCCACUAUCUAGGUGC